rnacentral:lncRNA from 1 species
UUAAAUUAAUCAAAUAUAUAAAGCAGAGUGUUAUAGCUUACAACCCUCUAAACCCUUUGCUCUCACGUGUGUCCGUCUUCCUUUUUAUCCUUGCUUCUAGCAACCCCUUCACUCUCUCAACUGUGCUUUCUAAAUUCUUCAUCUGUUCCAUCCACAUAUCAUGUCAGUCUCAUAUCGUAUUUCAGCAUGUGAACCCAUCAGCUAUUACUAUCAAUGCAACCUUCACAAACAAAUCCAAAUUAGAAUGUUUUAA